rnacentral:rRNA from 1 species
GACGAACGCUGGCGGCGUGCUUAACACAUGCAAGUCGAACGGAAAGGCCCUGCUUUUGUGGGGUGCUCGAGUGGCGAACGGGUGAGUAACACGUGAGUAACCUGCCCUUGACUUUGGGAUAACUUCAGGAAACUGGGGCUAAUACCGGAUAGGAGCUCCUGCUGCAUGGUGGGGGUUGGAAAGUUUCGGCGGUUGGGGAUGGACUCGCGGCUUAUCAGCUUGUUGGUGGGGUAGUGGCUUACCAAGGCUUUGACGGGUAGCCGGCCUGAGAGGGUGACCGGCUACAUUGGGACUGAGAUACGGCCCAGACUCCUACGGGAGGCAGCAGUGGGGAAUAUUGCACAAUGGGCGGAAGCCUGAUGCAGCAACGCCGCGUGCGGGAUGACGGCUUUCGGGUUGUAAACCGCUUUCGCCUGUGACGAAGCGUGAGUGACGGUAAUGGGUAAAGAAGCACCGGCUAACUACGUGCCAGCAGCCGCGGUGAUACGUAGGGUGCGAGCGUUGUCCGGAUUUAUUGGGCGUAAAGGGCUCGUAGGUGGUUGAUCGCGUCGGAAGUGUAAUCUUGGGGCUUAACCCUGAGCGUGCUUUCGAUACGGGUUGACUUGAGGAAGGUAGGGGAGAAUGGAAUUCCUGGUGGAGCGGUGGAAUGCGCAGAUAUCAGGAGGAACACCAGUGGCGAAGGCGGUUCUCUGGGCCUUUCCUGACGCUGAGGAGCGAAAGCGUGGGGAGCGAACAGGCUUAGAUACCCUGGUAGUCCACGCUGUAAACGGUGGGUACUAGGUGUGGGGUCCAUUCCACGGGUUCCGUGCCGUAGCUAACGCUUUAAGUACCCCGCCUGGGGAGUACGGCCGCAAGGCUAAAACUCAAAGGAAUUGACGGGGCCCCGCACAAGCGGCGGAGCAUGCGGAUUAAUUCGAUGCAACGCGUAGAACCUUACCUGGGUUUGACAUGGAUCGGGAGUGCUCAGAGAUGGGUGUGCCUCUUUUGGGGUCGGUUCACAGGUGGUGCAUGGCUGUCGUCAGCUCGUGUCGUGAGAUGUUGGGUUAAGUCCCGCAACGAGCGCAACCCUUGUUCACUGUUGCCAGCACGUUAUGGUGGGGACUCAGUGGAGACCGCCGGGGUCAACUCGGAGGAAGGUGGGGAUGACGUCAAGUCAUCAUGCCCCUUAUGUCCAGGGCUUCACGCAUGCUACAAUGGCUGGUACAGAGAGUGGCGAGCCUGUGAGGGUGAGCGAAUCUCGGAAAGCCGGUCUCAGUUCGGAUUGGGGUCUGCAACUCGACCUCAUGAAGUCGGAGUCGCUAGUAAUCGCAGAUCAGCAACGCUGCGGUGAAUACGUUCCCGGG